GAUGAACGCUGGCGGCGUGCUUAACACAUGCAAGUCGAACGAUGAGGCCCAGCUUGCCGGGUGGAUUAGUGGCGAACGGGUGAGUAACACGUGAGUAACCUGCCCUUAGCUCUGGGAUAAGCCUGGGAAACUGGGUCUAAUACCGGAUAGGAGCGUCCACCGCAUGGUGGGUGUUGGAAAGAUUUAUCGGUUUUGGAUGGACUCGCGGCCUAUCAGCUUGUUGGUGAGGUAAUGGCUCACCAAGGCGACGACGGGUAGCCGGCCUGAGAGGGUGACCGGCCACACUGGGACUGAGACACGGCCCAGACUCCUACGGGAGGCAGCAGUGGGGAAUAUUGCACAAUGGGCGCAAGCCUGAUGCAGCGACGCCGCGUGAGGGAUGACGGCCUUCGGGUUGUAAACCUCUUUCAGUAGGGAAGAAGCGAAAGUGACGGUACCUGCAGAAGAAGCACCGGCUAACUACGUG
rnacentral:rRNA from 1 species